CAACGAGAUGAAUUUGAUGAGGACAUGAGAUCAGAAUUAGAGUGUGUUUUCCCCAAUUAUAUCCAAAUGCUUGAGGAAAGAAUUUGUGAUUUAGCCCGAGAAGACAAAGGAAUUGUUGUCGCAGGAGAGACCAGUUCUGGGAAAUCAACUCUGAUCAACACACUAAUUGGGGAAAACAUCUUGAAAUCUAGAACAACCCAAAACACUUCAACAAUUUGUAGAAUCUGGAAUUCAGAAAAUAUUGGACUAAAAGUCUACAACGACAAAAAUUAAUGCAUCCACUCCAAAUCAGAUUACACAAGAGACCAGCUGCCAGAAUUCCGGAAAGAAGUUCAAAAAUUUACAGAUGUGAACAACAUGCCCGAAAACUGCUCAUUUGUGGAUAUUUUGUAUCCAGUCUCUCUACUAAAGGGAAAAACAAUUUUAGUAGAUACCCCUGGAGUUGGAGGAAAUAAAGAUCUGGCAGAGUUGAUGAUGAAAUACUUACAAAACGCAGUGGCUUUCGUAUUUGUUGUUAAUGCUUCAAAUGCAGGAGGGGUACAGGAUGAUAGGCUACCGAUCAUUUUACAAGAAAUUCAACGCUUUCACUCAGACCACAAAAUACCAUGUUUUGAUCCGAGUGACGUCAUUUUUGUGACAAAUAAAUGGGACGUCAUUUAUUCUUCCUGUGAAGAGGGCGAGGACAAAGAGGAUAUAAAUCUUACUUGGGAAAAAGUCAAGGAAUCAAUCAAGAGGCACUGGAGAUCCGUGAAAGAUGACCAAAUUUUUCAAAUCUCACUGAAAAAGAUUUUUGGAUGCGAUUCUACGAAUAUUGGAGCGAGGAACAUGUGCAAGGAUCUCGUCCGCUAAAUCGUCUGAAGCCGAUCAUAAAAAAAGAGCGGAGGAAAAUAUUCAAUUUCUAGAAGAUCUUGUUCAGAAAAAACAACAGAUCAACAAAGAACUCCGAGCCAAAUUAGAAUCCUCAAUUACGGCCCUAAGUGAUGAUCUUAUGGAUUAUGUUUGCUCAGUUAAAGGAAAAAACGAAAUAUUAAACCCAGCUGGAGAAAAGGACAUUAAAGAAGGAAGUGUUUUUGUAUUACAAAGAAAAGUGAAGAAAAGAUACAUGAGUAUUAUUGAAAAUUGGCGCCAAGGUUCAAAAGUUUCCAGUGUCUUUCUAGUUCUUGAGCAGCAAAUCAAAGAUUCUUUUAGUGCAUUAAAGGAAAAAAAUUACGAUACUUGAAGAAAUAUUGAUAGGUUUCCGAUAUUCUCCACCAAACAAUGAUAUUACUACAACACCCGGUUGGUUCCCUGUUUUUGACAAAGCUGGGAACCUGUCUACAAUGGCCGGUAUUGCUCUUUCUUCACUUUUUUCUGCGGCCUUUCGAGACUUUAAGAAAACCACAGCCAUUGACAAAAUUUACGAAAAGUGCAUAAAAGUUUAUGAUAAAGAAACUGCAAAAAGAGAUUUGGAGAAUAUUUAUGGAACCCACUACAGGAAUGUAAUUGAGUGGGUGCUUGAUGAGUCGAUUGAAGGUGACCUCAGAAGUUUGAACAAAACGAUAACACAGGUGUAUGAAAAACGAAAGGAGUACCAAACUAAACUUGAAAACUACCAACUUUUCAAAGAAGGUCUGGAGGAUCUUAAAAAGCAAAUGAAGGAAACAGAUGAUGAUAUUUCCAAAAUGCUUGAAACCAAUCAACUUUAAGGAGUUUAUGCCUGAUUAAAACCUGAUUGACUUUUGAAACUUAACUUACAAGUACGUUAUACGUGGAGACUUGUUGUUUUAAAAUGAAACUUGUCUUUUUCUUUGUGACUCGUUUAGCUCUAUCCUAACGUUCCUUUUUUGUUGACUGUGUUUUAUAAUGCGUUUUAAGUCAAACUACCCCAAAGUAUCAUUUAAUAAAUUAUAUUCCAUUCUU